GUAAUAGGCAUGUCUCCAUCUCGUUCUUUGAUAAUAGCUACUUGAUCCCACCAGAUUAAGGCAUAAUCGGUAAACUCAAGGGCGACCCACCGAGCUUCUUCUCUUCACUAUGAUUGUGGUAGAUGAAGAUGCAAUCAACCUUCUAUUCCCACUCGAGAUAGGCCUCAUGGUCAUUCUUUCCCUUAAAAGCUGGUAUUUAGAACUUGAAGUCAUGGAGGUCCUUAUUUGCCUCUUCAUGACGGCCCCCUUAUCGGUCACCAGCAUCAUACCACAAGACCUUGUCAUUACCAUACUAUUUGGCAUCAAACAUGGCUACAGUUGUCGCCUCACUCCAUGCGAUCCAUGUGUGCAGCCAUGUUCCCCAACUAGACACUUAAUUGGGUGAACAUGUCAAGGACUCGUUCUUUCAUGGUUACAGGUCUACUGUUGGCAUUCUGUUGAGACAUCAUGGAG
rnacentral:lncRNA from 1 species